CUGUCCUACGGGAGGCAGCAGUGGGGGAUAUUGCACAAUGGGGGGAACCCUGAUGCAGCGACGCCGCGUGGGUGAAGGAGCGUUUCGGCGCGUAAAGCCCUAUCGGCAGGGAAGAAGGAGGACGGUACCUGACUAAGAAGCCCCGGCUAACUACGUGCCAGCAGCCGCGGUAAUACGUAGGGGGCAAGCGUUAUCCGGAUUUACUGGGUGUAAAGGGGGCGCAGACGGCAGCGCAAGCCAGGAGUGAAAGCCCGGGGCCCAACCGCGGGACUGCAUUGGGAACUGGCGCGCUGGAGUGCCGGAGG
rnacentral:rRNA from 1 species